rnacentral:sRNA from 1 species
UCACAGACCUAAUAGACCCGGCCUUUCCUCUCUGCCUCUGGCUUUAUGUCUCUUUCAUCCUCCUCUGCCUUUCCCCUGCCCUUGAUCCCUUCUGCAGGUCUUGGCUGGUUUCAGGAAACAGGUCCCAUCCCAUGGACUCCCACUCUGGGGAGCCAGCGCUCCUGCCCUGUGGGACCUGUGACAUGGUUUUCCGCUCCUCAGCUCUGUUAGCCACCCACACUCAGCGCUUCUGCAUUGGCCACCCGACCCAAGAGAUGACAUUUGGAGCACAGGCAUCAGUUGCCACUGAACCCCAGCGGGCCGCGGUUGUGCCACAAGAACACCAGGGCGUGCCACAAGAACCCCAGGGCCUCCCAGACCAGCAGGCCAGUAGAUCUGCUUUAAAGAGGUUAACAGAGGAGGUACAGCUACCUACCUUCCCCCCAGGGCUCAAAACGUUGAGCGUCUUCCCCAAACCUGUAGAUCAUACUUGGGACAGAUUCUGCCCACGCAGAGAUCGCGGAUCGCUGUUACCUCCAGGUGCAGUGGCUGCGGCUAUCCCUACAGGAAAUGCGGCCCUGGAUAACAGAGGUCCCCAGGGUGUUCGCGGGGCCCUGGACACGUUCCGAGGCGCGGCCUCAGAGUCCCAUGUCCGAGGCGGUGGGAAGCCCCAGCGAGCGGCUGCGGGCGCUGUUCAGGACUCGCGCGAGGCGCGUGGCGGAGAUGGAAGCGCAGAGCCGGGCCCUGCAGCUACGCGGCGAGGGUGAAGGAGAUGGGGGACGGGGACCAAGGACCUCCUCUGCCCUCGCCCUUUGGCUUAAGCUUGCUCGGGCCGGUUCUGACUCGGCCCGCAUUCCCUCAGAACUGAGCCGACGCCUCCAAGUUGUGGCCUGUACGCGGGGCGGGAUGUCCCGCCUCUUCGGCCUGGAGCAGGAGAUUCGAGAACUACAAGCUGAGGCCGGGAGGACGCGGGGAGCUCUAGAGGUGUUGGGGGCCCGCAUUCAGGAGCUGCAGGCGGAGCCAGGGAACCCUCUGCGCUCCCGGAGAGAGGCAGAACUUUAUUCUCCAGUGCUAAAGGCCAACCCGGGAACUCUGGCUGCCGAAAUCCGGGCGCUGCGGGAGGCCUACAUUCGAGACGGGGGCCGGGACCCCGGCGUGCUGGGCCAGAUAUGGCAGUUGCAGGUGGAGGCGUCUGCACUGGAGCUGCAGCGGUCGCAGACCCGCAGAGGAAGGGCAGGUGCCACCUCAGGGGAGCUUCCAGUAGUGGAGGCUGAAAACCGGCGCUUGGAGGCAGAAAUCUUGGCUUUGCAAAUGCAGAGGGGUCGGGCACCCUUGGGGCCCCAGGAUCUGCGACUCCUGGGGGAUGCCAGCCUACAACCGAAGGGGAGGAGAGAUCCCCCACUCCUCCCGCCACCGGUGGCACCACCACUGCCACCACUUCCAGGCUUCUCGGAGCCACAGCUUCCUGGAACAAUGACCAGAAACCUGGGCCUGGACUCACACUUCCUCCUGCCCACAUCGGACAUGCUGGGCCCUGCACCCUAUGAUCCUGGGUGAGGCCCAUGCCACCUUCGACAGCCUCUGUGACUUGGCCAGCACUGCUGGUUAAGGGAGCCCACUAGGACCAGAUAGGGUUAGGGACCUGCCUGAGAGGAGGGAGGUUGAAAGGAGUUGGGUAUUUCUGUGCUAAGACUUGUGUUCCCCAGGGCUGGCCUGGUCAUUUUCUAUGAUUUCCUGCGGGGCCUUGAGGCUUCCUGGAUUUGGGUGCAACUAAGGACUGGCUUGGCACGCGAUGGACAGGAUACAGGAAGGACCACAGCGUUGCCCCCAGCCCUUUGCCUGCCCCCACCUCCUGCUCCCGGGCCCAUGGGCAACUGUGCCAUCCUUGCCAGCAGGCAGCCUGUGCCCAGACUACCACCCUCACCAUCAGUAUCUUUGGUCUGUGAGCUGCAGGUCUGGCAGGGGCUGGCAUGGGCUAGGGCACCACAGCCAAAGGCUUGGGUCUCACUUGGACUAUUUGACCAAGAUCAGCGGGUGCUAAGUGGCCGCUGGCGCCUCCCACUUCGGGCCCUUCCUCUGGACCCCAGCCUUAGCCUUGGGCAGCUGAAUGGGAUUCCUCAGGUGAGUGUGGUGCGCAGGGAUUGGGCAUACAGCAAAGUACAAGUGCAAUACCAUUUCAUCUCUCCCCAGGCAGGUCAGGCUGAGCUCUUUCUGCGGCUGGUGAAUGCAAGAGAUGCAGCUGUCCAGACACUGGCAGAGAUCAAUCCAGCAAGUGUCCAUGAGUACCAGUACCCACCUCCGGUGUCCAGCACAUCUUCACUGGAAGCCAACUUCCUCACCCCCACAGUUGGCUUUGCUGAUCCCCCACCUCGUACGGAAGAGCCCCUCAGUGGAGUCAAGGAUAGAGAUGAGGGUUUGGGCCCUCACCACAGUUCUGACUUGCCCCCAGUGAGUUUCUGAACCCAAGUGAAUGUGGAGAUGAGCAUCUGAACAUGCACAGGACUGGGGCCUAUUUCCAGACCUACAGCUUUACUACUCCAUGUUCUGACAUUGGGUCUAGAAGCAUCUAGCAGUUGAGUACAGAAAACCAGUUCCAACCACAGCUUUACCACCUCCCGUGAGUCCUUAACUUUUCUGUACCUCUUCUGUUUUUGUAAAACAGAUUAAGGAUUAAAUGAAUUUGUCAGGUA